CCUACGGGUGGCAGCAGUGAGGAAUAUUGGUCAAUGGGCGUAAGCCUGAACCAGCCAAGUCGCGUGAGGGAUGAAGGUUCUAUGGAUCGUAACCCUCUUUUAUAAGGGAAUAAAGUGCGGGAUGUGUCCCGUUUUGUAUGUACCUUAUGAAUAAGGAUCGGCUAACUCCGUGCCAGCAGCCGCGGUAAUACGGAGGAUCCGAGCGUUAUCCGGAUUUAUUGGGUUUAAAGGGUGCGUAGGCGGCCUGUUAAGGCAGCGGUGAAAGUCUGUGGCUCAACCAUAGAAUUGCCGUUGAAACUGGGUGUCUUGAGUACGUUUGAGGCAGGCGGAAUGCGUGGUGUAGCGGUGAAAUGCUUAGAUAUCACGCAGAACCCCGAUUGCGAAGGCAGCCUGCCAAGCCAUGACUGACGCUGAUGCACGAAAGCGUGGGUAUCAAACAGGAUUAGAUACCCGGGUAGUC
rnacentral:rRNA from 1 species